AGAGUUUGAUCAUGGCUCAGGACGAACGCUGGCGGCGUGCUUAACACAUGCAAGUCGAGCGGUAAGGCUCUUUCGGGAGUACACGAGCGGCGAACGGGUGAGUAACACGUGAGCAAUCUGCCCUUCACUUUGGGAUAACCUCCGGAAACGGUGGCUAAUACCGAAUAUGACCACUUCACGCAUGUGAUGGUGGUGGAAAGUUCUGGCGGUCAAGGAUGGGCUCGCGGCCUAUCAGCUAGUUGGUGAGGUAACGGCUCACCAAGGCUUCGACGGGUAGCCGGCCUGAGAGGGCGACCGGCCACACUGGGACUGAGAUACGGCCCAGACUCCUACGGGAGGCAGCAGUGGGGAAUAUUGCACAAUGGGCGAAAGCCUGAUGCAGCAACGCCGCGUGCGGGAUGACGGCCUUCGGGUUGUAAACCGCUUUCAGCUCCGACGAAGCGCAAGUGACGGUAGGAGCAGAAGAAGGACCGGCCAACUACGUGCCAGCAGCCGCGGUGAUACGUAGGGUCCGAGCGUUGUCCGGAAUUAUUGGGCGUAAAGGGCUUGUAGGCGGUUUGUCGCGUCGGAAGUGAAAACUCAGGGCUUAACCCUGAGCCUGCUUCCGAUACGGGCAAACUAGAGGAAUGCAGGGGAGAAUGGAAUUCCUGGUGUAGCGGUGAGAUGCGCAGAUAUCAGGAGGAACACCGGUGGCGAAGGCGGUUCUCUGGGCAUUACCUGACGCUGAGGAGCGAAAGUGUGGGGAGCGAACAGGAUUAGAUACCCUGGUAGUCCACACCGUAAACGUUGGGCGCUAGGUGUGGGGCCUAUUCCAUGGGUUCCGUGCCGCAGCUAACGCAUUAAGCGCCCCGCCUGGGGAGUACGGCCGCAAGGCUA
rnacentral:rRNA from 1 species